AUGAAGCUGGAAUCGCUAGUAAUCGCAGAUCAGAAUGCUGCGGUGAAUACGUUCCCGGGUCUUGUACACACCGCCCGUCACACCAUGGGAGUUGGAAAUGCCCGAAGCCAGUGACCCAACCUUAGGGAGGGAGCUGUCGAAGGUGGAGCCGGUAACUGGGGUGAAGUCGUAACAAGGUAUC
rnacentral:rRNA from 1 species